UACGGGGGGGGGCAAGCGUUGUUCGGAAUUACUGGGCGUAAAGGGCUCGUAGGCGGCCAACUAAGUCAGACGUGAAAUCCCUCGGCUUAACCGGGGAACUGCGUCUGAUACUGGAUGGCUUGAGUUUGGGAGAGGGAUGCGGAAUUCCAGGUGUAGCGGUGAAAUGCGUAGAUAUCUGGAGGAACACCGGUGGCGAAGGCGGCAUCCUGGACCACGACUGACACUGAAAAGCGAAAGCCAGGGGAGCAAACGGG
rnacentral:rRNA from 1 species